rnacentral:rRNA from 1 species
AUACGGAGGGUGCAAGCGUUACUCGGAAUCACUGGGCGUAAAGCGCGCGCAGGCGGGCUGAUAAGUUGGAUGUGAAAGCCUACGGCUCAACCGUAGAACUGCAUCCAAAACUGUCAGUCUAGAGUCUGGGAGGGGAAGAUGGAAUUAGUUGUGUAGGGGUAAAAUCCGUAGAGAUAACUAGGAAUACCAAAAGCGAAGGCAAUCUUCUGGAACACUACUGACGCUGAGGCGCGAAAGCGUGGGGAGCAAACGGGAUUAGAAACCCUAGUAGUCC